CGUCAUUCAUUUUUGCGACGGCGAUGAUGUUCUGGGUGUUGACCAGACGAAUGCGCGUAUUGGCCUCGGCCACGCCGCUCAGCGGCGAGAAAUGGAAGGUGGCAACGCCGGCGCGCGGAUUUUCGUCGGCCACGAUCAGCACGUCGGUGACGUAGGAUUGCUCGGUCAUCGGGCUCUCGACCGACACCGUGAUCGGAACGGUGUUUCCGUUCUCGGCGAUUUCCGGCAGAUCGAGCUUGACCUUGCCAUCGGUGGCCGCCUUGCCGCCGGUGAAUUGCUUGAUCACAUCUUCGUAGUCAUUCUUGGCCAAGGCUGGCGUGAUCGAUUGGCCAAACGCGGCCACGGCCACGGCGCCCGCGCCGAUCGUCAGGGCCUGCCGGCGGUUCAAGGUCAUUCUCAU
rnacentral:misc_RNA from 1 species